GAAAAAUAGAAAUAAGGGGACAAGCACAAAUUGGAGAAUACUAUCCUUUUAGCAAAGCUGAAAGCUGCUAAAUGUCGUAUGCUUUAUUAAUUUAAUUUUACUAUUUAUUUUGUGAACUUUUUAAACAUUAUAUCAAACUGUAACCUGUAAAUGUACUUCUUUUUUUCAAAAGUGCAUUUUUUUAUCUAUUUAAAUUAGGAACCGGAGGACAAAUAGGCACAGGAGGACAAAUAGGCACAGGAGGACAAAUAGGCACAGGAGGACAAAUAGGCAUAGGAGGACAGCUGGGAACUGGAGGAGGAUAUUAUCCUGCAAGCAAAGCUGCCAAAUAUGGAGGACAACUAGGAACAGGACAACUUGGAACAGGGCAACUUGGAACAGGGCAACUAGGAACAGGGCAACUAGGAACAGGACAACUUGGAACAGGACAACUUGGAACAGGACAACUAGGAACUGGAGGAGGAUAUUAUCCUGCAAGCAAAGCUGCUAAAUACGGGGGACAACUAGGAACAGGAGGACAACUUGGAACAGGCGGCGCAUAUUAUCCUGCAAGCAAAGCUGCCAAAUACGGUCAAGGUGGUGGAGGGUUUAUUCCAGGUGUUCAUGGAGGUGGUGGAGGAGGAGGAGGAGGAUUUUUACCAGGAUAUGGAUCUUUGGCAGCCAAACCUCCUAAAUAUGGUGAGACUUUGAUAUUUACAGUUUGAUACCUCGUAAUAUUUGCCAAACGUAUUCCACCUAUACAAGUCUAUCAACAUAUUAAUACAUAAAUCCAGUGAUACGGUUUUAAAAGUUGUGCCUUUAAUGCAAUAUUGGACUUAUUUUGCUUUGUUAAAAC
rnacentral:lncRNA from 1 species